UGGAGCAAAACUCAAAAAAAUAAGUACUCAGUUCGGAUUGAAGGCUGAAAUUCGCCUUCAUGAAGCCGGAAUUGCUAGUAAUGGCAGGUCAGCAUACUGCCGUGAAUACGUUCCCGGGCCUUGUACGCACCGCCCGUCACACCAUGAGAGUUGGGAAUACCCGAAGCCUGUGAGCUAACUUUUAGAGGCAGCAGUCGAAGGUAGAAUCAAUGAUUGGGGUGAAGUCGUAACAAGGUAAC
rnacentral:rRNA from 1 species